rnacentral:rRNA from 1 species
GAGUUUGAUCCUGGCUCAGAACGAACGCUGGCGGCAGGCUUAACACAUGCAAGUCGAGCGCCUGUAGCAAUACAGGAGCGGCAGACGGGUGAGUAACACGUGGGAACGUGCCCAAAGGUACGGAACAACUCCGGGAAACUGGAGCUAAUACCGUAUGUGCCCGAGAGGGGAAAGAUUUAUCGCCUUUGGAUCGGCCCGCGUCUGAUUAGCUAGUUGGUGGGGUAAUGGCCUACCAAGGCGACGAUCAGUAGCUGGUCUGAGAGGAUGGCCAGCCACACUGGGACUGAGACACGGCCCAGACUCCUACGGGAGGCAGCAGUGGGGAAUUUUGGACAAUGGGCGCAAGCCUGAUCCAGCCAUGCCGCGUGCGGGAAGAAGGCCUUCGGGUUGUAAACCGCUUUUGUCAGGGAAGAAAUCCUUUGGGUUAAUACCUCGGGGGGAUGACGGUACCUGAAGAAUAAGCACCGGCUAACUACGUGCCAGCAGCCGCGGUAAUACGUAGGGUGCAAGCGUUAAUCGGAAUUACUGGGCGUAAAGCGUGCGCAGGCGGU